rnacentral:rRNA from 1 species
CCUACGGGAGGCAGCAGUGAGGAAUAUUGGUCAAUGGGCGAGAGCCUGAACCAGCCAAGUAGCGUGCAGGAUGACGGCCCUAUGGGUUGUAAACUUCUUUUGCAGGGGAAUAACGCGCGGUACGUGUACCGCUUCGCAUGUACCCUAUGAAUAAGCAUCGGCUAACUCCGUGCCAGCAGCCGCGGUAAUACGGGAGGUUCGGGCGUUGUCCGGAUUUAUUGGGUUUAAAGGGUGCGCAGGCGGCAGGUCAAGUCAGCUGUGAAAUGUCCGGGCUCAACCCGGGACCUGCAGUGCAAACUGGCGUGCUGGAGUGCGCGUGAAGCAGGCGGAAUUCGUCGUGUAGCGGUGAAAUGCUUAGAUAUGACGAAGAACCCCGAUUGCGAAGGCAGCUUGCUGCAGCGGAACUGACGCUGAUGCUCGAAAGCGCGGGUAUCGAACAGGAUUAGAUACCCCUGUAGUC